AUUGAACGCUGGCGGCAGGCCUAACACAUGCAAGUCGAACGAGUGGCGGACGGGUGAGAAAUGUCUGGGAAACUGCCUGCUGGAGGGGGAUAACUACUGGAAACGGUAGCUAAUAACGCAUACCAGCAGAUGUGCCCAGAUGGGAUUAGCUAGUUGGUGGGGUAACGGCUCACCAAGGCGACGAUUCCUAGCUGGUCUGAGAGGAUGACCUGCCACACUGGAACUCAGACACGUUCCAGACUCCAACGCGAGGAAGCAGUCGGGAAUAGUGCACAAUGGGCUCAAGCCUGAUUCAGCCAUGCCUCGUGUAUGAAGAAGGCCUUCGGGUUUUAAAGUACUUUCAGCGGGGAGGCGUUACCCGCAGAAGAAGCACCGGCUAACUCCGUGCCAGCAGCCGCGGUAAUAC
rnacentral:rRNA from 1 species